UUUAUUUAAACGGAUUGGGGUCAUAACAGCACCAUGAAGGUGGAUUUAAUUGUAAUAUUGAUUUAACAAGUCAUUGUGAUAUUGGAUCUAAAUUAUGUACAUAUCGCCCGUCGCUUCCAUCUAUUAAAUGGAAUAAGUCGUAACAUAGUAGGGGUACUGGAAAGUGCACCUAGAUAGAAUAAAUAAAACUUG
rnacentral:rRNA from 1 species